UACGGAGGGAGCGAGCGUUAUUCGGAAUUACUGGGCGUAAAGCGCACGUAGGUGGCUUUGUAAGUCGGAUGUGAAAGCCCUGGGCUUAACCUGGGAAUGGCAUUCGAUACUGCAUCGCUAGAGUAUGGUAGAGGGAAGUGGAAUUUCCGGUGUAGCGGUGAAAUGCGUAGAUAUCGGAAGGAACACCAGUGGCGAAGGCGACUUCCUGGGCCAAUACUGACACUGAGGUGCGAAAGCGUGGGGAGCAAACAGG
rnacentral:rRNA from 1 species